rnacentral:rRNA from 1 species
UGUGGAUUAAUUCGAUGCAACGCGAAAAACCUUACCUACCCUUGACAUGUCUGGAACCUUGCUGAGAGGCGAGGGUGCCUUCGGGAGCCAGAACACAGGUGCUGCAUGGCUGUCGUCAGCUCGUGUCGUGAGAUGUUGGGUUAAGUCCCGCAACGAGCGCAACCCUUGUCAUUAGUUGCCAUCAUUUAGUUGGGCACUCUAAUGAGACUGCCGGUGACAAACCGGAGGAAGGUGGGGAUGACGUCAAGUCCUCAUGGCCCUUAUGGGUAGGGCUUCACACGUCAUACAAUGGUCGGUACAGAGGGUUGCCAAGCCGCGAGGUGGAGCCAAUCCCAGAAAGCCGAUCGUAGUCCGGAUUGUUCUCUGCAACUCGAGAGCAUGAAGUCGGAAUCGCUAGUAAUCGCGGAUCAGCAUGUCGCGGUGAAUACGUUCCCGGGUCUU